rnacentral:rRNA from 1 species
UACGGGGGGGGGCAAGCGUUGUUCGGAAUUACUGGGCGUAAAGGGCUCGUAGGUGGCCAACUAAGUCAGACGUGAAAUCCCUCGGCUUAACCGAGGAACUGCGUCUGAUACUGGAUGGCUUGAGUUUGGGAGAGGGAUGCGGAAUUCCAGGUGUAGCGGUGAAAUGCGUAGAUAUCUGGAGGAACACCGGUGGCGAAGGCGGCAUCCUGGACCAAUACUGACGCUGAGGAGCGAAAGCGUGGGGAGCGAACAGG